AUAAGCAUAUAUGGCACCGCGGCUCCACCCCCACCCCACCUAACGCGUGUAUAGUAGUAUAGAAAAAAAAGUAUCCCUUGGACGACCGCAAGAGGCAGCCAUGGCGACGGCGGAGGCGGGGGGCGAUGGCUUCGAGUUUCUGUCGGAUCCUGUUGACAGGUUCCCCCUGCCGGAUCUUGGCGGCGGCGAGUCCAUGCUCGACGCUGAACCCACCCGAACUCUGGUGUGCACAACCGCCUAGUCCACCAUUGGUGAUGUAGGCGAUGCGGCGCUGACAGUCCAAGUAGACCUAAACAACACUUGCGAGGGGCUGAGUUUGUCGGCGCUGAACUAUGAGGAAUCAACGGGCAAAGAUGAUCCUCAAGCCCCGGGCUAGACGUAGAGAGAAUACGGUGUCAUCAACCGACGUGGCCGCGCCGAGGACUCCUUCCCUCGCCUCCUCCAGGAACUGCCCCAUCAGCGGUGGCAAAAACUGCUCCUUGAACUUGGAUGGACCGCCCGCCCAGCUGCGCUGUGUUCUGCGCCACUUAGUUCCUGGCCAAUCCUGAAGGCAUCAUAAGACAUUCUGGAAUCUGAGAAACAUGACAAGUGGUACAGGGUUUUGUGUACAAAGUUGAAGUUGUUGAGCAGGUCAAGGAACUCGCAUGUUUUGGAGCACACAUGAUUGCUGUUCUACCACACGGUUAUGGUCCUUGAUUUCCCCGGUAUAGACCAGAUACCAGUAAAGCACAUUGGGAAACAUUGGACAAAGGACACAAGAGUUGUACUGCCAGAGCACCUGGCUCAUCUUCAGAAGGAUAAAAUUUCAGUGAACUCAAUAACAUUCGGAUGCUCAAACCUAUAGACCCAUGCCCUUGAAGUUAUAAGACUGGGAGAUGCAAACACAAGUGCAUAUGAGUGUGCAAUGGAUCUCCUGAAGAAAGCAGUGGAUAAGAUGACACUUAUACCCACUGUGCAGGAUGGAAUGGGGUUGGAAGACAGAAUUCAGUCAAACAAGGGGAAGAAUAAAGAGCUGACCGCAAUGUGUGCACCUCCCAGCGGAUGUGCAAGCGACACCGAAGGUAGUGCAAUUGGUAAUUUCGUGGGUCUAAAAAGGCUCCAGAACGAAAACGUAAGGCAGUUCGACCAACCAACAGCAGGGACAAGCCUACAUAUGAUGAUCGCGGUGCAAAUAGCAAAAAGUACAAAAAG